UGUGUGAUAUUUGGCUUUACUUUAUAAAAAUACACAACUUAAAUACAUAUGACACUCUGUAUACAAGACAUAAAGAACUCGUAGACUCAACAUUUUUAGUUAUUUCAAGAGAAAGCAGAUAUGUAAAUUACCUUGUAAGAGCAAAGAGUUUAUUGAUAGACUCUGCAUUCAGUCAGAGGGGCAGCAGGCCCAGGGAGCCAUCAAUGCAGGAAGCUCUCCCAACUGCUCAGCUUUCCAAUAAAAGGCGCGCACGGCGAGGGCCGCUAUUGCACAGCCUACUAUUGCACUGCUCAUUAGAUGCAGCCUAACUUUUCCACGUCACAGGGAAAAGCUUCUGUCUUCUCCAGCGACGUUCAAUGAAAAAAGCAAUGUCCAAACAGCAUUCACUGUGUCUUAAAAUUGUGCUCCAUACCAAGAAUGAGAAGUAUGAACCCCUUCUUCACUUUGCAACCUUCCAAUGGAAGUUAGCUCUACUGUGCGUCUAAAUUUAUUCUCAGGGCCAGGGAUUUAGCUCAGUGGUUUUGCCACCUGCUGCGCAAGCGUAAGGACCUGAGUUCGAUCCCCGGUACCAAAAAUUAAAAAAUAAAAAUAAAUUCAUUCUCAAAAGUUUUACGAAAGCAUUAGCAUACUUAAGAGUGAGCUGGACAGGGUGCAGUGGUGAAGGAAGCGGUAUUCCCAGGCCUACGGAGCCUCUGUGUUAGAGGGACACUGUCACUGUCAAAGGCAGUUUGCAUCCAGCCCCUGGCACCCCGCUUUCUGAGGGGAGACAGAAACCCCUCCCUCCACCCGUGGCUCUGUCUCCGCUCUCUGUACAUUGGCCACUUUACUAAUUCAGCACAGGUGCCGCUGGUUUGCUCUCGUGAUCCUUCAGGCAUUUAGCUGCCUUCUCUAUGGCUCAUUUAACUAAUAGUGAAUUAGGUACUAGUGCACAGGUAUAAAGAAAGCUUUACCACUUGAGAAUUCAAUACAUGAGACUAUAUCAGUGUAAGUUUCCUGAGAUAAAUGCAAGCCUUAAAAUGGUGUGCAAGCUAUAGAAUUCUAGCAGUUUAUCUUGGGUAGCAAUACGAAGCCUCCCAAGUCUGGACUUUUAAAUUAAUAGGCUAAUUAACCCAAAGAUACAUUUAUAUGAAGAAAUAAAAUGACAGUGCUAAAGCAAAAGAAAUAUUGACAGUUGAGAGGCGAACAGAGAAACGGGAGGAGGGAGUAUUUUAAAGUGCUUAGGGAGGCUGGAAGAUUAAGUUGAAAAUGCCCCCAGGGAUUUCUAACAAGUUUAAAACACAUUACUUCUUGGUGACUCAGAUGUAGAAGACAUGGGCUUUUGUUAAUAAUAGCUGUUCAAACUUUUCAUUCUUUCUGAAAAACAGAAUUCCUUAUACAAAGUUUUUAGCCAUUGAAAUUAUUCUGCUCGUUGUGAUUCUCACUGAUGUAUUUUUGAAAUCCUAACAGGCUGGAGAACUUUUGAUAAGACUGAACUACAAAGCACACAUCUGCACCAAGAAUUUAAAUUAAUGCAUAGAGAUCAGUAAAAUUUUGCAUAAAGUUAGUACCAAAAGACCUUUAAAUUGCACAUCAUGC
rnacentral:lncRNA from 1 species